UCGAUCUGCACACAGUAAGCACUCAAAAAAUACGACUGAAUGAAUGAAUUUAUUUUAUUGUCUGUUUCCCCCACUAGGUUGUCGGUUCCUUGGAGGCAUGGAUCGUGUCUGCCAACUGUAACACCACGAAACAGUUAGUGCGGUGCUCUGCACAAGCUUUCAGGAAAGAAAUACACCGGUGAAAAUUUGACGCGGUCCGUGGUGGUCAAGAGGCUCAUAACCCAAGAAUGAGGAUUCAUUUAUUCAUUCAGCCGUAUUUUUUGAGCGCUUACUGUGUGCCGAAGGGGGAAGGACACCAGACACGGAAUGAAGAUUGAAACAAUAAGGAUAGAAAAACAAUAUAAAGGAGCUCAGUUGCAGCUACCAGACGAGGGAAUCUUACCCUACUCAACCCCGGGAGCAGAAUGGACCGAGGGUUGUCAAUACCCGGGGGUCUCCAUUCCCUAGAAUUAAAAUCCCUCCCUCUGACGUUGCGGGAGGGGAAUAUGUCUGUUAUAUUGUACUCUCCCGAGCACUUAGUACAGUGCCGUGCACAGUGAGCACUCAAUAAA